UACAAAGAGUUAACAGUCACCAGCUUCGCUAAAGAAUUCAUCAGCAGCCAGAGCAGGGUCACGUGUUGGACUCUCCCGUGCGCUCGGCACACCUAAUGUAAUCCUACAGAGGUCUGUGGUUGUGCUUGGCACUUGUAGUCUUUAUUUAUAUUCUGUAGUCUCAUGUAGUCCUUGUUUUGAUGUAGCAUCAUGGUCCUGGGAGGAUGUCAUUUCAUUUCACUAUACUGCUGUUGACUGACACCGACUUGAAGACUGGACCAUGCAUACAUUCAACAAAGACCCAAGAGUCCGCAUGUUUUCCAAUUCUGUACAGCCAGCGCCAACACAAUAAUAUGUGGCCAAAUCUGCAUUCUAUAAAACACAAUAAAGAUUUACAUGUCAUUAAGAAUUUAUAUCGUAUUUAUGAUCCUCAGCAGAUCAGUUUAGCUCGUGCCUGGUGAUCUGUCUGAAGAAAGACGAGAGUAGGAGCACAAAACUGGUUUUGCAAGCACCACUAAACAGUGUAUUUUUCUUCAUCUACGAUUGUAACUGCUCCUCCUAUCACCGGUGCAACUGGCAGAUUAACAGGCAGGCUGUGAAUAUGAACUGGAAGUUGCAAAGUUAUGGAGAGCUGAGACUCAAGGGACUGGGGGUAAAAUGGUGCAGAGCUGGGCAGCAGAUGGCUCAUCUCCAAGCUUUCAGGAUCCCAGUCAGCCUUGCCAAAUAGGAACAGGUGCUGGAGAAAGUAGGAAGUGAGCUGUGGGCCCCAGUGGCAGCAGGAGACCCUUGACCAGCUGUUUCUGAGGAAAAGGGGCUGAUUUCCAGCUGGACCUCUGUGUGGAUUCCUGCACAACAUAAUGCCUUCUAGUGGCUGAGGAAGUAGCCACCAUCGCCCACCGACCAGCCCAGGAGUG